GAGUUUGAUUCUGGCUCAGGAUGAACGCUAGCGAUAGGCUUAACACAUGCAAGUCGAGGGGCAGCAUGAACUUAGCUUGCUAAGUUUGAUGGCGACCGGCGCACGGGUGCGUAACGCGUAUGCAACUUGCCUUACAGAGGGGGAUAACCCGUUGAAAGACGGACUAAUACCGCAUACACUUAUUCGGUUGCAUGACCGGGCAAGGAAAUAUUUAUAGCUGUAAGAUAGGCAUGCGUCCCAUUAGCUGGUUGGUGAGGUAACGGCUCACCAAGGCAACGAUGGGUAGGGGAACUGAGAGGUUUAUCCCCCACACUGGUACUGAGACACGGACCAGACUCCUACGGGAGGCAGCAGUGAGGAAUAUUGGUCAAUGGGCGAGAGCCUGAACCAGCCAAGUCGCGUGAAGGAAGACUGUCCUAAGGAUUGUAAACUUCUUUUAUACGGGAAUAACGGGCGAUACGUGUA
rnacentral:rRNA from 1 species